rnacentral:lncRNA from 1 species
AUUUUCAAGACAUAAGGGAUGUAAAGCCAGGACUAUUAGUGUGCAUCAGAAGGAAAACAUACAGAACACUCUAUUUAUAAUUCCAGGGGUUGGCAAGGUAUUUAAUGAAGCACCGAGAGUUCUCAGUAGCCACCACCUCCCACGCCGUCCUCCUGUCUGCGGGCUUGCAUCUAGCCACCAGUGCUGAAAUAGUGCCUGUCCCAUAGAACCAUCACCCCUCAGAACUGAGCCUGGAUGUCAGCCGUGGCCAUGAUGGCUCCGUCUCAUUCUGUCACAGAUCGUCUUUAUAAGCCAGACAUUUCAGUGCUAUAAACUGAUGAGACACCCACAGAAUUUAACAGAAAUCGAAGGUGUGGAAAGGAUCUCAGACAAGCGAAUCCAUCACUGUUACUGUACAGAUAAGAAAUGGAGGCCAAAUAGGAUUAGCAACUUGCUCAGGACUCCACAGAAGAAUCUGGAAAGUUCUCAACAGAUAAAUCUCACAGAAGGAAUUUCAAGAAUGAGAUUAAUCCAUGAACAAUGACAAAAAAGCAACCAACAAAAAACACAAGAGUGGCAGGAGAUGCAGGAAAUCAUUUCAUCUCUUCCAAGGAAUAUCUGGUUUAGAGCUGCCUUGUUCUUUAUAAUCACACUCCUCUGUGUUCCAAGAAAUGGCUGAACGCAAAGGAUGACCCUGGCCUCACAUAUUCCAAGAUAAAAUCCACCUUCACCUUCUUCCAGGACUCAGAUGAGCCCCACCACCACCCAGGUUUUCUCCCUCUAUUUGAGAUCUUCCUCGUUAAUAUGUUCCUCUUAUUGAAAUAGCCUGAAUAAAAAUCAUCUCCUUA